rnacentral:rRNA from 1 species
UACAGAGGUCCCAAGCGUUGUUCGGAUUCACUGGGCGUAAAGGGUGCGUAGGCGGUCGGGUAAGUCUGUCGUGAAAUCUCCGAGCCCAACUCGGAAACUGCGUCGGAUACUAUUCGGCUAGAGGAAUGGAGGGGAGACUGGAAUUCUCGGUGUAGCAGUGAAAUGCGUAGAUAUCGAGAGGAACACCAGUGGCGAAGGCGAGUCUCUGGACAUUUCCUGACGCUGAGGCACGAAAGCCAGGGGAGCAAACGGGG